UACGUAGGGUGCAAGCGUUAAUCGGAAUUACUGGGCGUAAAGCGUGCGCAGGCGGUGAUGUAAGACAGGUGUGAAAUCCCCGGGCUUAACCUGGGAACUGCAUUUGUGACUGCAUCGCUGGAGUGCGGCAGAGGGGGAUGGAAUUCCGCGUGUAGCAGUGAAAUGCGUAGAUAUGCGGAGGAACACCGAUGGCGAAGGCAAUCCCCUGGGCCUGUACUGACGCUCAUGCACGAAAGCGUGGGGAGCAAACAGGA
rnacentral:rRNA from 1 species